rnacentral:rRNA from 1 species
AACGAACGCUGGCGGCAUGCCUAACACAUGCAAGUCGAACGAGACCUUCGGGUCUAUUGGCGCACGGGUUCGUAACGCGUGGGAACCUUCCCUUAUGUUCGGAAUAACUCCCCGAAAGGGGUGCUAAUACCGGAUAAUGUCUUCGGACCAAAGAUUUAUCGCCUUUGGUUGGGCCCGCGUUGGAUUAGCUAGUUGGUAGGGUAAAAGCCUACUAAGGCGACGAUCCAUAGCUGGUCUGAGAGGAUGAUCAGCCACACUGGGACUGAGACACGGCCCAGACUCCUACGGGAGGCAGCAGUAGGGAAUAUUAGACAAUGGGCGAGAGCCAGAUACAGCAAUGCCGCGUGAGUGAUGAAGGCCUUAGGAUUGUAAAGCUCUUUUAACCGGGAUGAUAAUGACAGUAACGGGAGAAUAAGGCCCGGCUAACCCCGUG